rnacentral:sRNA from 1 species
GGCAGGGAGCGGAGCUGCGGAGCCGCCUGGUCUCCCGCGUCCAUCGGUCCAUUCCUGCGUCCUUCUGUCCGUCCGAACGCACACUUCAGGAGCAGCCGCGAGGGUGGCAUGGCAGCGAGCACAGACAUCGCUGGGCUGGAGGAGAGCUUCCGCAAGUUUGCCAUCCAUGGUGACCCCAAGGCCAGUGGGCAAGAGAUGAAUGGCAAGAACUGGGCCAAGCUGUGCAAGGACUGCAAGGUGGCUGACGGAAAGUCGGUGACAGGGACCGAUGUGGACAUCGUCUUCUCCAAAGUCAAGUGAGCCCUAAGCAGCCCCUGCUUCUCAUGUUCCCAGGAGGUGGGGAACUGGGGGGCUGGAACCAGGGAGGACAUCAAGAAGGGGUCAGGGAAACACCAUGAUCACGAAGGUCGUUCUUCCAGGGCAAACCUUAUCUAUUGCCCUCCAGAGUUGCUGACCCCCGCGAUUUCCCCAAACGUGGGAAAGAAAUGCAAUUGCAUAAUUUGUGGCGGCAGCGACUCUGUUUGUGCUUUUCCCUGGGGGAGAAAAAAGAAAGGGGAACCCUCAUGGUGCCCACAUGCCUGGCAGGGGGAAGUCUGCUCGGGUCAUCAACUAUGAGGAGUUCAAGAAGGCCCUGGAAGAGCUGGCGACCAAGCGAUUCAAGGGCAAGAACAAGGAGGAGGCCUUCGAUGCCAUCUGCCAGCUGGUGGCAGGCAAAGAGCCAGCCAAUGUGGGCGUCACC